UCAUGUUUAUUGACAGAUGAUACAAUACAAUCACAACAUUGUGUCAAAACAGUAAUUGUGCUUGUAAUAUUUGUUUUGAGCAUAUUCAUUUAAAUUCAAAUUCAAAUACAAGCAAUUUUUUUAAUAAAAUAUUCACAAUCAAUAUAAUGUAAUACAGCUAUUUAACAUUAUAGUAAAAAAAUAAAUUCAUGUGAACAAUGGACUUUUUUUUUGGUUUCACAGAUAAAUGGUCUUGCAAUUAUCAUUUUCUUCCAGCAGUAUUUUAUAAUAUACAAUGUAAUUAAGUCAAUUAAACUAAUCUUGGGGGAAUAUGCAUUCCUAAUUGUACAGGCAAAAUUUAAAGUUUGUCAAUAUUUUAGAUACAUCUUCUAUAAGGCUUUUCAAAUUAUCAAGUUUUUCCUUACAAUAAAAUGAAGUACAUUAUUUGUUCAAUCAUAAAAUCUGAACACCAAACAAACAAUAAAUUAUCCCAUCUUAUGUUAUAUGAUUACCCAGUCAACAAAAUAUGGUCUCACAUUAUUUGGACUUAAACAAAAUUAUGACUGGAAGGCUUGGGCUCAUAUAUAUAUAUAUAUAUAUAUAGAGCUCAAAGGCGAUUCAUUUAAACAAAAAUCUGUGUAAUGGCAAUGUGCAAUUGCAUUUGAAUCACAUGAAAUGAAAAUGUGACAACCAUCAUCAGUAUUAUCAAUACUUCAUAUACAGAAAGGCAAAAUAAAUAAUCAUAAAAUAAAACCAGAUGCUCCGCAGGGCGUAGCUUUAUACGACCGCAGAGGUUGAACCCUGAACGGUUGGGGCAAGUAUGGACACAACAUUCAAGCUGGAUUCAGCUCUAAAUUUGGAUUGUGAUUAAAUAGUUGACACAGCAUAGGUUUCUGACACAGAAUGAAUGUGUUCUAAUGAACUUAAAAUUUUUGUUUUCUCUUAGAGCAAUUCACUAUGCUGUUGAAUAUUAAUCCUCUCAAAAAAAUGUUUGAAGAAUUUUUUUUUAAUCACAUCCCCCUUUCCCUUAUUCCAAAACUAAUCUCAAUUAAAAUUUCUAAUGGAGUUUGCAACAAUAACUACUCAUUUAAAUACAUCAUAAAAUAUUAAGAUGUAAAAAAACUGCUUGUUAUCACUGAAUGGUAAAGAUUAUUUUAAUUUAUCAGUUGGUAGUAAAAAGUGAAUAUACAUUGUAUAUUGUAUAUAACAAAGAUUUAAGUUGAUUCUGGACAAAGAAAGAUAACUCCAAUUAAAA
rnacentral:lncRNA from 1 species